CUAACCUCCCCGCAAGCUUCUAUCAUACGCUUUCCUGAGAUGCUUCUUCUUCUUCUACCUGCAUCUCAUUCUCUCUGAGUCACUUGUGCUUGAAUGGCUUAACAAAGGAUUCCAAAAUCAAGCUUAUUCACGAAGGUUUUAAUUUUUUGAUCGUUCGUUCUUCUGUGAAACCCUAACGGUGUAUUAAGAUUUUAAUCAAAACCAACUGUUUGAUCCAUCUUGUGGUUCAAUCGUAUGUUUAUCUUUGUGCAUCUUGUGUUUAUUUUGCUUAUUUUCUAUUCUAAUUGCUUCUAAACUACCCCCGAUUUCUUCAAGCUUUUGUUAAUUGACUCAUACAACAGUCCCUGCAUAUUUUCAAUUUCUAUGAUCCUUGAUCAAAAGAUGAUUGCUAGACUAACAACGAUUAUAUGGAUCAAUUCAUUUUAGGGCUGGUAAAACUCGCUUUUACGAUCUGUUAGGGUUUCAAUUCAUUUGUUGUUUUAAAUGCACAAUAAAUUCAAAAUAUGAUUUGAACGAUUAGAGUUCUUGAUAUAUAUUAUUACACACUGACACAUUUAUUGUUGAUUGAAGAAAAUUGUGAAGUUGGAAAUUAAUUGAUAAGGGUUUUAUCUUUGAAUAAAAUUGUUUUUUUUCUAGAACGUUUUUUGAUAAAUUAGAUGUCUUUUAUUGAUCAUACUCAAUUCAUGGGAGAUGCGAAUGACUACACAAUUUUAUGGUCGUGAAGGCUGGGCAACAUUAUUCUUUAUUGCAGGUAUGUUUGUGUCCAGUGAGAAGCUCACGUCUAGCGAUUAGCAGCGGGUUAUGCUAAAACGGGAUGAAUAGAGGAAGUUAAAUUGGGCAUGGAUGUUGUAUCUGCAGAUAGAGAUACUGGAGGGAUGCACUGGAUGCGAAAAAGGAGGCUUUGAUUCGGUUUCUUCAGAAUGGGUCGUUGGAGAUUGUUGGAGGUGAUGUGGUGAUGAAUGAUGAGGAAGCGAUUGCACUUCCUCUUGAUCUUUUAGCUUUACUGAAUUUUAUCGUGGUAUUGUCUUUUGCAGGUCAAUUCACACUAAUUUGCUAUCAUAUAAAAUGUAGCGUUUUGUUAAUCCUACUGAAUAUCUCAAUUAAUUAUUUUUUACUUUAGAACUUUUAUGAAGUUGUGGUCCGUCUAUCACCAUAAUGCUUUCCCUUUGUAGUUGCAACGUACAGAUGUUUUAAUACUAAAAAAACACCAUAUGUAGUUGCAACACACUUAAAGUACACAGGUUUUUAUAGUUAGAUUUUCAAGUCCGGAAACUGAUCACUCUUUAUGUACUCGAGUCGUUAUUCUCUUUUUGUUCUUAUGAAUCAAAGUAUGGUUUUAUUGACAAAAUUGAUUGUGAUACAUCGGGGUUAUUCUUAGGAGGUGGUGGAGUGAACCUUAGUGCUGGUGCAACAAUAUUUGACCGGGAAUACUCAAAAUAGGUUUAUAAUCUUCAAUUGGAGAACGCACUUAUUGUCAGGGUUUCAUGGAAGGCCCCAGGUCAUUAAUAGGUCACUUGCAUAUCAUUGAUGGAAGCAAGUGAAAAGAUGUAAAAAAAGGUGAGUUCUUGAAGCGAAGCCGCAUGACGCGUUGGUAUUUUUUUCAAGGAAAUGCAAUCUGGUAGAUUCUGAAUCGGAUUUUAGAGACAAGAAAUAUGAUCGCUACCAGGCAUACUUAACCGAGUCUAACAUUGCAAGUCAUGAAUAGGUUACUUGCAUAUCAUUGAUGGAAGCAAGGUCAGCCAUUGACUCGUGAAAAGAUGUAGAAAAAGGUGAGUUCUUGAAGCGAAGCCACUUGACGCGUUGGUAUUUUUUUUUCAAGGAAAUGCAAUCUGUUCUUGAGCUCUUGAAGUGAAAAGAUGUAGAAAAAGGUGAGUUCUUGAAGUGAAGCCGCUUGACGCGUUGGUAUAUUUUUUCAAGGAAAUGCAACCUGUUCUUGAGCUCUUGAAGUGAUCCAUGAACCGAAUGGACCAACACCGUAUUCACAAUUUGAGCAUUCUUCUAUCGCGGCAACUGUAAAGAAAUUCUUCAAUUUAGAAUCCGAUUUCUUGACCAAGCGCGAUGAGUGGGCUGGCACCUUUGAGAGUUACUUCAACCUUCGUAGUACUCCACGUGAGGAUUGUCCAGAACAACUUCCUGAAAUCAAGGUGUCACUGAGGCCAAGAGGCCCGAUAGAAGAUAUGAAACUCACUGAGUUCCAAGUCAAGUUAAUUCAGCUUGCAUUCCAGCUCAACGGAGAUCAUAUUCUAAACACAUACCCCAAUAUUGAAAAAAAUAUGAGAGUUGGUGAAGCCCACUGUUACGCACGAGAUGCUUGCAGAAGGUUUCUGGAGGCCGGAAGAGCUGCCCUAAGAGCUGGAGCUAAUGAAUCUACCAUUGUUACAAUGAGACCCACUCUUAGUAGUCGAUCUUCGCAACGAUGAUUUCAAAGCUACUAAAAGCUUUGAAACUGUUGGUUGAAUAUAUACUUAUAGAAAUAUAUUCAAGUUUUCUGAGGGUUCAAAAGACGUUGCAGUUGGACAACCCAUUGCAAUAACAGUUGAGGAUCCAGCUGAAGUUGAGGUGGUACAGACACAUGUUAGUGGCAAUUUAGUAGCUAAGGAGGCGAAGCCAGCUCUGCAUGCUACCCAUGCUAUCCAUGACAAAGAAGUUAAAGGACAAAAGUCCAACUUUUCUUGAAUAAGUCAACCUGGAAGUUACUACUUGCACAAGAGAAAUUAGAUAUAUAUAUAUAUAUAUAUAUAUAUAUUCUGUUGUGUAUUCUGCAUUUGAUUAUAAGAAUAGAUGCAAUUAUCAACAUGAUGUCUCCUUCACACAUUACAAUGCUAUCUAAUGGAUUGUGGUUUCGAGGUGUUUGUUUAGGUUGGUCGAGCAACGCAGGUGGAUGAUAGAAAAGCUGCCACACAGGCUGCCGAGGUAAAAAUAUAUAAAUACCAAAAAUAAAAUGUUUUACUCAUCUUCAUCAUUAACCAAUUAUAGGAGUUUCUCACCGGUAAUAAUCGGCCGAAAGCCACCCUUAUAACCCGACUAAUUCAAGGUUACGAGACACAUGCAUUCAAGUCAAACUUUGACUCUUGGCCAUCGUCAACCGCACCUUCUGCUGAAAACCGAGGAAAAGUGGCUGAAGAUAGAGGAACAGUUUCAGGUCUGAUUGCAAGGGGUUUUUCUUUUUGUCAUGGCGCUCUUGGUGUCGCUCUUACCCUCGCAAAAAAGCAGCCAAGGUAUACGAAUUAAUUACAACUUUUCAACACUCAAUUAUCCUUAUAGUUAUGAGUAGGCCGAUCUAGGUUGUGUUGUAUAUGAAACGGGUCAAAUAAAAGUUCUUGCUAAAGGGGGUGUGGGUUGCUUAAAAACGUGUUGAAAGGCGUUUUGAGCUCAAAUUUUAAUUUUAAUGUAUUUAACCUCCUAAAUUGUUGCGAGAAUAAAAGUUUUUUUAAAAAUUGAACGUGUAGCACUGUAGUAGAAGAUGAACCCAUUUUGACCCGUUUGAUACCUAACCCGCUUAUGUUGCCAUAUCUUUUUUGGUGAGACUUGGUAAGUUUAGAAAUAUGAAUGAAGGGGAAGGUGAAAGUGAAAGUGAAACCGGAGGUGAAACGAGUAGUAGCAAUUUAGAUGCGCGAAGAUGUUAUUCGAUGGGUUCUUAUGAGUACGUGGUCGGGGAAACGAAUCUCCGGGUCCCUCUGAUUCAUCUGAGAGAUUUGCAAGAUGCAAAGUUUGUGAAAAACGUCGAACGGGUUGAGGAUCAUUCGCUUGAUGAAGAUCUUGAAGGGAAAAAGAUAAAUAUUGGUGCGAAAACAGGUAGUUUUUCUGUUUCAAAGAUCUGGUUAUGGUCUAAAAAGUGGAAAUUCACGAGUUCUUCCGGUAAUCAGAUGCAUAAUCCAUCUUCGGUCGACAUGGAAUUACCGCAAUAGGGGAGAUUUCAAGGUACAUGAAAAAGAAUUGCUCUUUUUUCAUCAUGUUUCUGUGUACUUUUCUUAAAUGAUUAGUUAUUUGUUCUUGCUACAUUUUAUAAUAUAUUACAUUUGAUGCAAGAUUUCUAUCAUGUAGAUGCUCAUAAUUGAUUUGUUGUUGAUUUUUUCCUACCAAA